rnacentral:tRNA from 1 species
GGGUGCGUAGCUCAGUUGGUAGAGCGGUUGACUCUUAAUCAGCAUGUCCCAGGUUCGAUCCCUGGCGCACCCACCA